rnacentral:lncRNA from 1 species
AUUACCUGUAACUCAUUAGAGACUCCCUACAACGCUGGGGUGGUCACUACUGUGAUAAAUUCAAGAAUACUGAGUGUGCUUCAUCCAAAAGGGCCAUAGCUACUGUUGUGAGGAAGUCUAAGGGUCCACUGAAGCAGCCCCUUUGCUGCUCUUGCUGCUGUUCCCACUGUUGGGUCCUCAGGGUGCCAGAAAAAAGGAUAACAGGAGUGCCUAUUACAUCCUACUUCGAUUAAUUAAUGCAUUUAUUCAAGAAAUCCUGGUGGUGUCAUGAGUUAAUGAUAUGGAAAGAUAGUGAUUUUUGAGCAUAUGAUCUUCAAAGUCAAAUACCAGACCCUGGAUCAUGGUAACCCUUGGAGACCCAAUCUCCAUGGAGACCUCAUGGAGAUAGAAACCACACCAGUAAUUUGAAGAGGGAAAAUUUAAUAUGAAGAAUGUUAACUUGUGAAAGGUAGUUAACAACUAAAAGAAGUGGAAAAGGACUCUGUGAGGGGCUUCUAUUGCAAUUACAAUGAUGCUGCUUAUCGGAAAGAAAACACCAUCAUGUUACAUUGUAAGAAGAAACAAUAACUCUGAAUCACAAAAAUUACAGCGACAACUAUAACAAUUGUUAAUUGCUUGAAAACAGUGGUUGAAAUGCUAUUGGAUAUUCACCUUUAGGUUCAUUGUGCAAAACACUGACUUGAUUAAAAAGGAAUUAGUUUUGUUAAUUGGGAAUUAAUUUAGGGAAAAGAAAAGAAAAUGAGAGGAGAGCUUGAGGUGAUUCCCAGUGUCUCUGGGUGGAAUACUCUGACUGGGUAACCGGUGCUCUAUCAUCCUCCUCUAGAAGAACACACAGGUCAAGGUCUGCCUAAUGCUGGCGUCUUAUCAGCUCAAUGGCGCUUUCUGUAACCAAAGCGACUCAGUGGCAAUGACCUCAAACACACAGCAAUGUUCAGAUCAAACUCACUGAUU